UACGAAGGGGCUAGCGUUGUUCGGAAUCACUGGGCGUAAAGGGCGCGCAGGCGGCCAUUCAAGUCAGAAUGUGAAAGCCCCGGGCUCAACCUGGGAGGUGCAUUUGGGACUGGAUGGCUUUGAGAUCGGGAGAGGAGAGUGGAAUUCCCAGUGUAGAGGUGAAAUUCGUAGAUAUUGGGAGGAACACCUGUGGCGAAAGCGGCUCACUGGACCACAACUGACGCUGAGGCGCGAAAGCUAGGGGGAGCAAACAGGG
rnacentral:rRNA from 1 species